GCAUUGGCGGCUGCCUACCAUGGCAGUCGAGCGGCAGCGGAAAGUAGCUUGCUACUUUGCCGGCGAGCGGCGGACGGGUGAGUAAUGUCUGGGAAACUGCCUGAUGGAGGGGGAUAACUACUGGAAACGGUAGCUAAUACCGCAUAACGUCGCAAGACCAAAGAGGGGGACCUUCGGGCCUCUUGCCAUCAGAUGUGCCCAGAUGGGAUUAGCUAGUAGGUGGGGUAACGGCUCACCUAGGCGACGAUCCCUAGCUGGUCUGAGAGGAUGACCAGCCACACUGGAACUGAGACACGGUCCAGACUCCUACGGGAGGCAGCAGUGGGGAAUAUUGCACAAUGGGCGCAAGCCUGAUGCAGCCAUGCCGCGUGUAUGAAGAAGGCCUUCGGGUUGUAAAGUACUUUCAGCGGGGAGGAAGGUGUUGUGGUUAAUAACCACAGCAAUUGACGUUACCCGCAGAAGAAGCACCGGCUAACUCCGUGCCAGCAGCCGCGGUAAUACGGAGGGUGCAAGCGUUAAUCGGAAUUACUGGGCGUAAAGCGCACGCAGGCGGUCUGUCAAGUCGGAUGUGAAAUCCCCGGGCUCAACCUGGGAACUGCAUUCGAAACUGGCAGGCUAGAGUCUUGUAGAGGGGGGUAGAAUUCCAGGUGUAGCGGUGAAAUGCGUAGAGAUCUGGAGGAAUACCGGUGGCGAAGGCGGCCCCCUGGACAAAGACUGACGCUCAUGUGCGAAAGCGUGGGGAGCAAACAAGAUUAGAUACCCUGGUAGUCCACGCCGUAAACGAUGUCCACUUGGAGGUUGUGCCCUUGAGGCGUGGCUUCCAGAGCUCACCCCUUAAAUCGACCGCCUGGGGGAGUACGGCCGCAAGGUUAAAACUCACAUAGAAUUGACUCGGUGCGCGCACAAACGGUGGAGCAUGUGGUUUUACUUCUAUGCAACGCGAAGAACCUUCACCUACUC
rnacentral:rRNA from 2 species